GUUUUAAAGCCUAAUUAAAGUGUCUGAGUUGCAGUCAGGUGAUGCCGGUUAGAGUUCUGCAGGCCUUC
rnacentral:tRNA from 1 species